rnacentral:rRNA from 1 species
ACUCAAUAGAUACCCUGGUAGUCCUGGCAGUAAACGGUGCACGUUUGGUGUGGGAGGAAUCGACCCCUUCCGUGCCGGAGCUAGCGCGUUAAACGUAGCCGCCUGGGGAGGUACGGUCGCAAGAUUAAAACUACAAAGAAAUUGACGGGGGCCCGGCACAAGCGGUGGAGUAUGUGGCUUAAUUCGAUGCAACGCGAAGAACCUUACCUGGGCGUUGACAUGCAUCUCUAAGUCGGUGAAAGCCGGCGAGUGUAGCAAUACACAAUUUGCACAGGUGCUGCAUGGCUGUCGUCAGCUCGUGUCGUGAGAUGUUGGGUUUAAGUCCCGCAACGAGCGCAACCCCUGUGGCCUGUUGCCACCCGGGCUUGUCCGGAGCACUCUGGCCAGACUGCCCUGUGAAACGGGGUAGGAAGGUGGGGAUGACGUCAAGUCAGCAUGGCCCUUACGGCCCAGGGCUGCACACGUACUACAAUGCCCAGUACAGAAUGAACCGAAGCCGCGAGGCAGAGGAAAUCGACGAAAACUGGGCCCAAUUCGG